rnacentral:rRNA from 1 species
AUUGAACGCUGGCGGCAGGCCUAACACAUGCAAGUCGAACGAGUGGCGGACGGGUGAGUAAUGUCUGGGAAACUGCCUGAUGGAGGGGGAUAACUACUGGAAACGGUAGCUAAUACCGCAUACCAUCGGAUGUGCCCAGAUGGGAUUGGCUAGUAGGUGGGGUAACGGGGAACCUAGGCGACGUUCCCUAGCUGGUCUGAGAGGAGGACCAGCCACAGUGGAAAUAGGACACGGUACAGACUCUGACGGGAGGCAGGAGGGGGGAAGUUGGCAAAAGGGGCGCAAGCCUGAUGGAUCCAUGCCGAGUGUAGGAAGAAGGCAUUCGGGUUGUAAAGUACUUUCAGCGGGGAGGCAUUACCCGCAGAAGAAGAACCGGCUAACUCCGUGCCAGCAGCGGCGGUAAUUG